rnacentral:rRNA from 1 species
UCCACGCAGUAAACGAUGAAUGUUAGUCGUCGGGAUGCAAGUCAUUUCGGUGAUGCAGUUAACACAUUAAACAUUCCGCCUGGGGAGUACGGUCGCAAGAUUAAAACUCAAAGGAAUAGACGGGGACCCGCACAAGUGGUGGAGCAUGUGGUUUAAUUCGAAGAUACGCGAAGAACCUUACCUGGGCUUGACAUACGAAGAAUCUUCCAGAGACGGAGGAGUGCCUGCUUGCA